rnacentral:sRNA from 1 species
AAACGCUUCAAACUCGCUCGCAAGGAC